UACGGAGGGUGCGAGCGUUGUCCGGAAUCAUUGGGCGUAAAGGGCGCGUAGGUGGCGGGACAAGCGUGCGGUGAAAGCUCGGGGCUCAACCCCGCGUCGGCCGUGCGAACUGUUUUGCUUGAGCACUGUAGAGGCAGGCGGAAUUCCGGGUGUAGCGGUGGAAUGCGUAGAGAUCCGGAAGAACACCAAUGGCGAAAGCAGCUCUCUGGGACGGUACUGACGCUGAGACGCGAAAGCGUGGGGAGCGAACAGG
rnacentral:rRNA from 1 species